AAAGUAAAUCAUCCCCCAAUUUCCAACUGUAGUUUUAUUAUUGGAUAACUCAGUGUAUAUUAAUACUGUGCAACGUAAAACACAAUUAGGCUCUAGUCUCAGGAACCUGAGCAUAGGUUUUUCACUUGCACCCAUGUCUGGUGGGACCUCCAAGUCAUGUGGGACACAGGACAAUUCUUUGUUGUGACCAUUGUCUCACGUGCUCUAGAAUGAACAGCUGCAUCUCUGCCCCGACCAGCAAAUGCCAGUGGUGCUUCCUGAUCAUUGACACAACCCAAAAAUGUUCCCUCAAGCUUCCCGACACUCCCACUGAGAACCACUGACCCAGAAGUACUGAGGAAGAAGAGCAACUGUGGGCAGAGGCUUCCAGAAGCUCACUGCAUCAGAGCCCACUGCCGGGGCAGGAGGCUCAUUUCCCUGGGAAGGAGCCGCAGCCAGGUUGCAUCCACUAAGCCGAGUUUGCAAAUCCAUGAAUGCUGAGCGGACACAAAUGCUUUGGGCUCUGUAUCGCAAAGGAGACAGAAACUACAGGCUUUUCCAAGAUAAGACAUCUUCAUGAUACUGCUUGAGACAUACUGAUACAUCCGUCUAGGCACAGAUUAGCACCAGGGAUGUUUUUACUCCGUCAGUUGGGACCAAGUUUGCGGUCUUGCUCUUGCUCAUCCUGGGGAAGAGGAAGAAGCAGCCAGAACACGGAGACAGCCUGUGCAGCCAUGCCCUGGGUCAGUGACUGCCUGCUGCAGCCCUUCACAGGCAUCAUGGAGGACCCACUGCGUGCCGCGAACUCCUCCGGGCCUGAGAAUGCAGGAGAGACGAAGCAGAGCAGGCGGUGGACUGGAGUAUCAGGACCUCACGACCUUGUGGCUUCUGAUGAGAAUGGUGACAUCUUGAAGGAAUCACUGUGUGCACACUUCCGUUCCAUGAGGUGUCUUUCUGCACUGCAGGCAGCUCGGAUUAAGAAACUGAGGCUCGGAAAAAUGAAGUGACUUACCUCAGCAUGGGAGGAAAAACCGAGUCCUGUGCCUACAGACCACAGCGCACCACAUCUCUGGUGCCGGGGGUGAGAGAUACUUCUGCUUUCACACAAGGCUCUCGGGCCUCCUCUGGAGAGCACACCCAAUACCCUUGCCUGAUGAGGUUGGAUGGCUUUCUUCUGGAAUAGAAAAGCCAGGUAUGAUGCACUGCUGCCUUCAUCACGUGAGGGCAGGGAGACCUGCAGGACACAUCUGUCUUUCCUAAGCACAAACCGAGAGUCUAGAUGAGAGUGAUGAAGAUAAAUGCUUUCCUGGAACUGAAUUUUGGAGGAGCACUGCUUCUUUCCUUUGACUUUAACUCACAAUUCCGCUUCCAAAAAGAUGUUCUCGAACCAAAUUCUGCCAAGCUUCCUUCAAGGUGUUUUGUUUAACAAGGAGAGGAUAUGGCAUAGAUCUCUCCACAAGGUGUACAUAUCAAGAGAAAAAAUUAAAUAGGAUCCCUUCUCUAGAGGCAUGAAGACUUUUUAUGGAAAAGGCAAAGUCUGUUGUGCCCUUGGACUCUAAGGAAAUCACUCUUGAGUUGUUCACCUUGCAGUUUGUGUGGGGCUUUCGACCCACCAGAAGCCACUGCUUUCGUACUAAAGAUGCUACUGUGGCUUCCGCUCUUCCUCCAUCCUGGAGUGGUGUGGCAUUUCUCUAUCCUGGUCCAGAUGUCUUGGGACUGAGCAAAUCUUGCUGACUUCACUGCCCCCUGCAAAGACUCCCAGCAUGUCUGCAUGAGGGGAAACGACAAUGGCUAACAAUUGCUUCCAUCCUUUCGCCCUCCGGAAUUCUGCAAGAAGUUUACUCUGGCAGCACAUAGAACCACUUCAUUUCCUUAUCUCACUGCUCUCUGUAGAAGACGCUGGGGAGACUCUGACCUCCUCCCAGAGCUGGAACUGUAAACCCAAUCAGAGAGGAGUUCUCACCUACUGAAUUGUCUUGAACAGAACUUUGGAAAUGGUACACUUACAAUGAGCUGAUGGAUUGGGGGAUAAGAUAGUCAAGAAGCGGGUCCCUCUAGUUCCAAAGGCUCUUGGGUCACUAUUAACCAAAAGCAUGGCUUGUCAGUGUUUUUAUAUGGUUGUGUCUUUUAUUUCCUGUAAGUAUGUAAGUCUCAGAUCGGUGACGGUUUAGUAUUUACCUUUCUUAUUCUUUGUGGAAAUUUUCUCAUCUACACCUGAAAUUCUCUGGAACAUGCAGGCUUCCAGGAGCAUGGGCUUACAGAGACUCUGCCAUGUUCAGUGUGCAGCUUCUGAGGUCGCCCUGGACAUGAAUACCGGAGGGGUAUUCCGGAGGGGCUGGUAAAUGGAGAAGAGAAACAUAGAAGA